AUCCUGCUUUCUGAUCCCUGCUCCCAGUGAGCUUCUGAAGUGGACUCUUCCCGGUCCUCUGGGUGCACCUGCCUCCUGCCAUCUUCUCAGUUUUCAAGGAACUGUGUCUGCCACAAUUCAACCUCCUGUUGACCUUGGUUUCAAAUCUAUUAAUUCUUUUUUUUUUUUUUUUUGUAGAGACAGAGUCUCACUUUAUGGCCCUCGGUAGAGUGCCGUGGCCUCACACAGCUCACAGCAACCUCCAACUCCUGGGCUUAAGCGAUUCUCUUGCCUCAGCCUCCCGAGUAGCUGGGACUACAGGCGCCCGCCACAAUGCCCAGCUAUUUUUUGGUUGCAGUUUGGCCGGGGCCGGGUCUGAACCCGCCACCCUCGGCAUAUGGGGCCGGCGACCCACCAACUGAGCCACAGGCGCCGCCCAAAAUCUAUUAAUUCUUUUAAAAAUGUUUUGGUUGGUUUUUUUGAAGUAAUAAAUAUAUAGGCUAAAAAUGAAAAGAGAGCAUAAAAAAUAUACAAUGGAAUUGAGUCUCCCUCCCAUCGCAGACACUGAGCCCCCCGUCCCAGGGCUGGCGAGCGCGGUUUCUUGUGAACCCCUCCAGAACACGUCCGUGCUCCAUGUAAGCGUACACAUUCUGGUUUUAUUUCUUUGUCAAAGCACAUGGUGGCUUACAAUGCACAUCUAAAAAUAUAACUUGGAAAAUACAUACCUUAGAAGUUUUCCACAUGAGAACACAGCUGUUUCAUUUAUUUUAUACCCCUACAGCGUUUCACUGUGUAGAUAAAUCCUAGUCUGUUUAAUGGCUUCUCCACUGUUGUUUCCACUUAUUAGCUAUAAUAAUCAAUGUUGCAAAUGAGCAUCAACCUGUGUGUAUGUCUGUGCACAUGUGUGUAUAUAUGCUAAUAUUCCCACGUCCCUGUGAAUCUAUCUGUAUAGAUUUAUAAAAUAAAUACGUGACCAAGUAACUGCUGAGGCAAAGAAUACAUUCAUUUUGUUCAUUUUUAAUUUGUUUAAAAUUGAUCACUUUGGCAUGCAAAAAAGUAGUCACACCAACAGGGUAUAACGUUCUUCCAUUUUAUUUUUUGUGAGCCACCUAAGAAAACAAUCCUAUUGAAUUUUUUAAAUUACAUUUUUAAGACGUAAGCAGGCCUGACCGUCAGUGUAUGUGUCUAAGCCUUUCGUCGUCUUCUGUCUCCCAGCCCUCUGCCGGCCAUCCUCUCGGGUGUCUGCUUUUAAGAACACCAACUUCUAAGACUUGUUUACAUAUUUACAUAGCAGUUUUACGCCCCAGGUAAGGUACCUGUUUUCCCAGUGCGGCUUCACGUUAUUUCUUUUUCUGGAGAAGUGUCCAAUUGUUUAAGGAUUGAAAUGUUUUAAUGUUUUCCUUAACGGCUUCUGACUUCUAUGCCUUACUUAGGAAAUGUCUCAACUGCAAGGUACAUUUUUUUAUAUCCUAAUUUUCUUCCAGUUUGUGAUUGCAUUUUUUUACUUCUAUUUUGUAAUCCCACUGAAAUUAUUUGAGUGUUAGAAUAAGCAUCAAUUUUUCUCUUCACCUCUCUGGAGUCAGUUGUGCUGGCAGUGAGAGCUGCAUUUUGCAUUUGAAAGCUACUGAAGAUGUAAUAAAAUAUGGGGAGUGUCCAUGGCACUAAAUACCUGGACAGCAGAACCUCUGUAAGUGACCGCUCAGGGCACUGCAGCAAACUGGCCAGCAUUCGGAGGUGGUCAUCGCAAGGAACAAGGCCACAUGUAUGUACAUGUGGUGCGUGUCGGAUCUAUGAAAAUUAGGUCAGCUUUAGGAGGUGGUCAGCUAUGGAGGCUCUGUGUAUUAAGCAGUCCCUUGACACGCAGGCAUCGCUGACACAGUCAAAAUUCCUACUCUUCCUGAGCAGUUACCGUGCUGAGCAAACUCUCCAGAAGCUUUACUCGUUUUAAACCCACAAGCCUGUAAGGUGUGAACUAUUGUCUCUAUUUUAUACGUAAGAGAAAGGACUGUCUUGAGGUCAUACGUCUUAAAAAUGGCAGACCUAGGGCCUGAUGUGAGUCUGUGUGUCUUCAACACUAAGGUUUUCUAAUUUCCAUUCCUGCCGGGAAAGGAGGAGAGAUGUGCAGAUUGAUGCGUGAACAGAUGGAGCAACUUCUUUCCAGUCCACUAGCUGGAAUUUAUAGUCCUAAAGCUUCAGUCUUUACAUUGAAUAUUUUGUUGAAUUGGAUUUAAAACCCCUUCAUCAUCCACUGAGCCCGAUGAGGGAACUCUUCCAAAUCAUGCAGAAGCCUGGAGUACGUGUGCGCAGCAGGAUGAGGGCUCUGGCCCUGUCGCUCAUCACUCAAACGUCCCUUCCUAUUGGGCAUUCCCUUUUCGGAGAGGUCAACCUGCUAGACACAGUGAUUCUGAAGCCCCUUCAAGUUCUGUGAUUCUCUUCUGCAUCUGUGUCCUGAGGCCACGAUUUCUACACUAAAAUUAAGAGGCAACUUUCUGAUGAGUCCAAGUUUCUAAUGAAGAAAACGGAAAAUGAUACAUGUUAAUAUUUGACAUUGGUAUGGCCUAUGGCUGGGCCCCUUCCCAGGAAUUUCUGUUGACUUGAGUUGCUUUCCCAGACUAUUGUGAUGCCUUAUGCUCUGGCUUGUG